rnacentral:sRNA from 2 species
UAUCUCUCCGUACGGGGAAGGAUGAGAAGCUUCGACUAAGGUUCGAUUCGAGCGCAGCGAGAAAGCGUUGCCGCAGGCAACGACCCGAAGGGUGAGGAGCG